UACGUAGGGGGCAAGCGUUGUCCGGAAUCAUUGGGCGUAAAGCGCGUGUAGGCGGCCCGGUAAGUCCGCUGUGAAAGUCCAGGGCUCAACCCUGGGAUGCCGGUGGAUACUGUCGGGCUCGAGUCCGGAAGAGGCGAGUGGAAUUCCGGGUGUAGCGGUGGAAUGCGUAGAGAUCCGGAAGAACACCGGUGGCGAAGGCGGCCUGCUGGGACGUUACUGACGCUGAGACGCGAAAGCGUGGGGAGCAAACAGG
rnacentral:rRNA from 1 species